AAUGAUAUGGUCGAAUGAAAUUUAAACAUACAACAUUCACCUAAACUUCAAUUUCAAUGUUCCAUCUAUACAUCUCCUCUGUUGGGAUAGGAAUUUCGAAGGUCACUAACCCUGUCACAUCGUCGUACACAAAGUCCGUACCCACCUUGUCCACACUACAUUUCAGAGGCCGUUGGGACGAGUAUAAACCGAACCUUCCGCAUCCUCGGGCUUUCAUGGUGAUAGUGGCCGUUGGAGGUCGAUCAUCAGGGAGAGAACAUGUUAGCUCAGAAGCAACUUCACCAUCGAACUCUGGUAUUGGUUCGACCACUUGGAUAUCGACUUGCUCGACAGCACCGCCGAUGUUGAACAUGUCAACUAGACCGAUUGGGGCAAACGAGAUGUUUGAGGUGAUGUCCUAUAGACCAAAAGAACAUUAUAGUGAAUCCACAAAACAAGUUGAUAAACAAAGAAGAAAAUGAAGGAUGGGAGUGGAGGAGGUACAUACCUUCAGAGGAGAAAUAUGGAAAAGAUCGUAUUCUAAAACUUUGAGGGUAACAGGAACUGAAGCACCUUUUGGCAAUCGAGUCAAAUCUCCUGAAAAACAAAUCAAAUUCCUUUUGUUAGAAUUUCUUUUCCUAUUUCUAACUAACACAAGAAAACCCAUCAUGAAUCUUGGUUAUAAAGAGUGAUAUAUCCAUGUACCUGAUCGAUAGGCAUAAACGAUAGUAUCACCCUUCCAAUCGGCACCUGCAACUUGUGAAAUAGCAUCAACAUCAGCUGCACGGACAGAGGUAGUUAGGGUACCCGGAGACUCAUCGUGAAUGCGAGUCUUCUUUGUGAUCCUGCACCAGCCGGCACCUUGGCAAUUGAAUACUCCAACAACACCAGAGCAUUUGUUCAUAUUCCAAAUUUUG
rnacentral:lncRNA from 1 species